UACGGAGGGUGCAAGCGUUGUUCGGAUUUAUUGGGCGUAAAGCGCGUGUAGGCGGUUUCUUAAGUCUGAUGUGAAAGCCCUGGGCUCAACCCAGGAAGUGCAUUGGAUACUGGGAAACUUGAAUACGGGAGAGGGUAGUGGAAUUCCUAGUGUAGGAGUGAAAUCCGUAGAUAUUAGGAGGAACACCGGUGGCGAAGGCGGCUACCUGGACCGAUAUUGACGCUGAGGCGCGAAAGCUAGGGGAGCAAACGGG
rnacentral:rRNA from 1 species